rnacentral:rRNA from 1 species
GACGAACGCUAGCGGCGUGCUUAACACAUGCCAGUCGAACGGAAAGGCCCUGCUUUUGUGGGGUGCUCGAGUGGCGAACGGUGAGUAACACGUGAGUAACCUGCCCUUGACUUUGGGAUAACUUCAGGAAACUGGGGCUAAUACCGGAUAGGAGCUCCUGCUGCAUGGUGGGGGUUGGAAAGUUUCGGCGGUUGGGGAUGGACUCGCGGCUUAUCAGCUUGUUGGUGGGGUAGUGGCUUACCAAGGCUUUGACGGGUAGCCGGCCUGAGAGGGUGACCGGCCACAUUGGGACUGAGAUACGGCCCAGACUCCUACGGGAGGCAGCAGUGGGGAAUAUUGCACAAUGGGCGGAAGCCUGAUGCAGCAACGCCGCGUGCGGGAUGACGGCCUUCGGGUUGUAAACCGCUUUCGCCUGUGACGAAGCGUGAGUGACGGUAAUGGGUAAAGAAGCACCGGCUAACUACGUG